UCACUAUAUAAACAAGGCGUACCGGAAGCACAAAAAAAUGAAGAUGCAAAAUAGCAUGCUCGCCACUGAUAUCGGGUGCAGAAUUUAUGAUCUGCAAACGUAUCUCAUCUGCUCUAAUUGGAGGUUUUGUGAGCUUACAUCAACUUGAAUUCUUCAAAUACAUGAAUGAAAACAGAUCCACACAGAUCCCACCGCUGGUGAAUCUCCCAGCCACAUGUUGCAUCCUUUACGAAGACCUACACAGAUGCCUAGAUCGGCGACGAUGCUGCAGCUAGGUAGGGAUGUGAUCAAAUACAUAUUAGCUAGAACAUCCUUAUUUUCCGGAUGGCAAAGUUGGGCAGUGAUCCUGGAAAUCUCCUCUGGAACUAAAAGGGAUGUGAUCAAUUACAUAUCAGCGAACAUCCUUAUUUUCCGGGUGGCAAAGUUGGGCAGUGAUCCUGGCAAUCUCCCCUGGAACUAAAACAAGGUGCUCCCUGCGCAUUGAGGCAGCAAAAGCAGUGAUGGGCAUUUGGUUCACCUUUGGUGUUACAAUCCCUUGCGACACACCAUUUUAUGGUAAGUUUGCUCUCAUCUAAGGAUGAGGCCACCAUAGUCUCGUUGUCAUGGCCAUCU
rnacentral:lncRNA from 1 species